rnacentral:rRNA from 1 species
GACUAGCGGGUGCUAUACUGCAAGUCGAGCGGACAGAUGGGAGCUUGCUCCCUGAUGUUAGCGGCGGACGGGUGAGUAACACGUGGGUAACCUGCCUGUAAGACUGGGAUAACUCCGGGAAACCGGGGCUAAUACCGGAUGCUUGUUUGAACCGCAUGGUUCAAACAUAAAAGGUGGCUUCGGCUACCACUUACAGAUGGACCCGCGGCGCAUUAGCUAGUUGGUGAGGUAACGGCUCACCAAGGCAACGAUGCGUAGCCGACCUGAGAGGGUGAUCGGCCACACUGGGACUGAGACACGGCCCAGACUCCUACGGGAGGCAGCAGUAGGGAAUCUUCCGCAAUGGACGAAAGUCUGACGGAGCAACGCCGCGUGAGUGAUGAAGGUUUUCGGAUCGUAAAGCUCUGUUGUUAGGGAAGAACAAGUACCGUUCGAAUAGGGCGGUACCUUGACGGUACCUAACCAGAAAGCCACGGCUAACUACGUGCCAGCAGCCGGCGGUAAUA